AUUAAACUUAAAAAUGUCAAAUCAUAACUUUCAUAAGAUUAACAAAGUACAGUACUGAGAAUCGUCUUAAUGUUGUAUUUUUCAUAGAGUGAGUCUGUUCUUAUUAUGUUACAUUUGAUUUUAACCGUGAAAUAGCUGAUUUACCGGACAAACAGUUGAAUAAUUUGAAUUUGAUUCCUGAUUGCAUACCGAAUCUAAAGCAACCAACACAGUUAUUUUUAUGGUUUUCGACGUUGGAAGUCCUGGGCUUUAAGUCAUCAGAUUCCAGAAUGCGACAUUUUACCACCAUCACACUAUACGGACUUCAUAUACAGGAGUGUACUCCUUACGAAGAAUCUGCUCCAACAGAGUUAUGAGGAGGAAUUGGUUGAUUUAUACGAUGUGUAUGUGUCUAAACUAACUAACGACGUUUUUACCACGUCUUAGAUUGUGGUUUACCAUCUACAUCGUCUGUCUGUUAAGUACCGAACGUGAUGACUGUUAUGUACAAGACGCAACAGUUUAUUUCUUUAAAUUUGAAAUUUAAUAGACAGUAAUAACAGAACAUUCAGAUGUUUACUCUGAAAUACACUAGUUAAUCCAACUGUAAAAAAUACUGCCAUCUCUUUAAAUACAGAAUUGACAAAUA